GACGAACGCUGGCGGCGUGCCUAAUACAUGCAAGUAGAACGCUGAAGGAGGAGCUUGCUUCUCUGGAUGAGUUGCGAACGGGUGAGUAACGCGUAGGUAACCUGCCUGGUAGCGGGGGAUAACUAUUGGAAACGAUAGCUAAUACCGCAUAAUAGUAGAUGUUGCAUGACAUUUGCUUAAAAGGUGCAAUUGCAUCACUACCAGAUGGACCUGCGUUGUAUUAGCUAGUUGGUGGGGUAACGGCUCACCAAGGCGACGAUGCAUAGCCGACCUGAGAGGGUGAUCGGCCACACUGGGACUGAGACACGGCCCAGACUCCUACGGGAGGCAGCAGUAGGGAAUCUUCGGCAAUGGACGGAAGUCUGACCGAGCAACGCCGCGUGAGUGAAGAAGGUUUUCGGAUCGUAAAGCUCUGUUGUAAGAGAAGAACGAGUGUGAGAGUGGAAAGUUCACACUGUGACGGUAUCUUACCAGAAAGGGACGGCUAACUACGUG
rnacentral:rRNA from 1 species